rnacentral:rRNA from 1 species
GACAGAGGGUGCAAACGUUGCUCGGAAUUACUGGGCGUAAAGCGCGUGUAGGUGGAUUGGUGUGUCAGAUGUGAAAGCCCUGGGCUCAACCCAGGAAUUGCACCUGAAACUACCAGUCUUGAGUGGUGGAGAGGGAAGUGGAAUUCCUGGUGUAGAGGUGAAAUGUGUAGAGAUCGGAAGGAACACCAGUGGCGAAAGCGGCUUCCUGGUCCAGCACCGACGUUCAGGCACGAAAGCGUGGGAGCAACAGG